AUAUUAAUAAGGGGAGGAAAAGAAACUAACAAGGAUUCCCCCAGUAACGGCGAGUGAAGCGGGAAGAGCUCAAUUUGAAAAUCGAUUUCCUAGACAGGACAUCGAGUUGUAGCCUAUAGACGUACUAUCAGCUGAAACCUGGGUAUAAGUUCUUUGGAAUGAGACGCGAUUCAGGGUGAGAGCCCCGUUUACGAUCCAAAGCUUUCAGCGUACGAUGUAUGUUCAUCGAGUCGAGUUGUUUGGGAUUGCAGCUCUAAAUGGGUGGUAAGUUUCAUCUAAAGCUAAAUAAUGGCGAGAGACCGAUAGCGCACAAGUA
rnacentral:rRNA from 1 species